rnacentral:rRNA from 1 species
UACGUAGGGGGCUAGCGUUGUCCGGAAUCAUUGGGCGUAAAGCGCGCGUAGGCGGUCAGGUAAGUCCGGUGUGAAAGUCAAAGGCUCAACCUUUGAAUGCCGCUGGAUACUGCCUGACUUGAGUCCGGAAGGGGCGAGUGGAAUUCCUGGUGUAGCGGUGAAAUUCGUAGAUAUCAGGAGGAACACCAGUGGCGAAGGCGGCUUUCUGGACGGUAACUGGACGCUGAGACGCGAAAGCGUGGGGAGCAAACAGGGAUUAGAAACCCG